rnacentral:lncRNA from 10 species
GGGAGGCCGAGGUGGGCGGAUCACCUGAGGUCGGGAGUUCGAGACCAGCCUGACCAACAUGGAGAAACUCCAUCUCUACUAAAAAUACAGAAUUAGCUGGGUGUGGUGGCACAUGCCUGUAAUCCCAGCAACUCAGGAGGCUGAGGCAGGAGAAUCACUUGAACCCAGGAGGCGGAGGUUGCUGUGAGCUGAGAUCGCGCCAUUGCACCCCAGCCUGGGCAACAAGAGCAAAACUCCGUCUCAAAAAAAAAAAAAAGAAGAAGAAGAAGAAACCCAAACACACACACAAACAAAAUAACAGGUGCAGGCCAGUUAAACAAAAACAACUCAAGAACUGUGCCCUGCAGGGGCGCAUUCAUGUGCGGGUGCCCCCUAGAGGACUCUGAGGGUAGAAUGCAUUCAUCCUGAAUGGAUGCAAGAGGAUCAUUUUUCUUCAUCCAAAGUGAAUUCCCUACCGUAUGCUAUGCCCAGGGGACAUGGCCAGUGAACAAGACAUGCAAACAUUAUUGCUGCUGCUCUGUUCACACAUGCAAGAGAGAGACAAUGAGUCAGCAAACACACACAUAAGUUGUUUUUGUAUAGCAAAAUGUACCAGAACAUAAGAUAUAGGGGACUGGUGGCUGGGCGUGGUGGCUCAUGCCUGUCAUCCCAGCACUGUGGGAGGCCGAGGCAGGUGGAUCACCUGAGGUCAGGAGUUGAGACCAGCCUGGGCAACAUGGGGAAACCCCAUCUCUACUAAAAAAUACAAGUCCCAGCUACUCAGGAGGCUGAGGCAGGGGAAUUGCUUGAACCUGGGAGGCGGAGGUUGCAGUGAGCCAAGAUCGCCCCACUGCAAUCCAGCCUGGGUGACAGGUAGAGACUCCAUCUCAAAAUGAUGAUGAUAAGAAGAAGAAGAAGAAGAAGAAGAAGGCUGGGCACGGUGGCUCACGCCUGUAAUCCCAUCACUUUGGGAGGCUGAGGCAGGCAGAUCACGAGGUCAGGAGUUCGAGACCAGUCUGACCAACAUGGUGAAGCCCCAUCUCUACUAAAACUACAAAAAUUAGUCGGGCAUGGUGGUGUACGCCUGUAAUCCCAGCUACUCAGGAGGCUGAGGCAGGAGAAUUGCUUGACCCUGGGAGGCAGAGGUUGCAGUGAGCCGAGAUCGUGCCACUGCACUCCAGCCUGGGUGACAGAGCAAGACUCCAUCUCAGAUAAUAAUAAUAAUAAUAAUGGCUCAAGCUAAUAAAAGAAGGCCUGUC